rnacentral:misc_RNA from 1 species
GAUGAAGACGCAGCGAAAUGCGAUAAGUAAUGUGAAUUGCAGAAUUCAGUGAAUCAUCGAAUCUUUGAACGCACCUUGCACCCUUUGGUAUUCCGAAGGGUAUGCUCGUUUGAGUGUCAUUGUACUCUCACACUUCUAAUUCCUUUCGGGAUUGGGAGCGGUGGACUUGGGUGUUGCUGCUUUAGUUGUGGCUCACCUCAAAUAAGUUAGUGCAACUCUUGGUUGGACAUAGUACGGCGUGAUAAGUGUCUUCGCCGGCGCCUCUGUAAGGAGGGUGGCCGAUCGGGAGCUCUGUGCUUCAAACCGUCUUCGGACAAUCUUUGACAACUUGACCUCAAAUCGAGUAGGACUACCCGCUGAACUUAAGCAUAUCAAUAAGCGGAGGA